CACGCAGGCGGUUGGAUAAGUUAGAUGUGAAAGCCCCGGGCUCAACCUGGGAAUUGCAUUUAAAACUGUCCAGCUAGAGUCUUGUAGAGGGGGGUAGAAUUCCAGGUGUAGCGGUGAAAUGCGUAGAGAUCUGGAGGAACACCGGUGGCGAAGGCGGCAUCCUGGACCAACACUGACGCUGAGGAGCGAAAGCCAGGGGAGGCAAACG
rnacentral:rRNA from 1 species